rnacentral:rRNA from 1 species
CACUCCUACGGGAGGCAGCAGUGAGGAAUAUUGGACAAUGGGUGGAAGCCUGAUCCAGCCAUCCCGCGUGCAGGAAGACGGCCCUAUGGGUUGUAAACUGCUUUUAUCUGGGGAUAAACCUACUUACGUGUAAGUAGCUGAAGGUACCAGAAGAAUAAGCACCGGCUAACUCCGUGCCAGCAGCCGCGGUAAUACGGAGGGUGCAAGCGUUAUCCGGAUUUAUUGGGUUUAAAGGGUCCGUAGGCGGACUGAUAAGUCAGUGGUGAAAUCCGACAGCUUAACUGUCGAACUGCCAUUGAUACUGUUAGUCUUGAGUAAGGUUGAAGUGGCUGGAAUAAGUAGUGUAGCGGUGAAAUGCAUAGAUAUUACUUAGAACACCAAUUGCGAAGGCAGGUCACUAAGUCUUAACUGACGCUGAUGGACGAAAGCGUGGGGAGCGAACAGGAUUAGAAACCCCGGUAGUCCCAUGA